GACGAACGCUGACGGUGUGCUUUAGACAUGCAAGUCGAGCGAGAAAGCCCUUCGGGGUUAGUAAAGCGGCGAACGGGUGAGUAACACGUGGGCAAUCUGCCCCUCGCAGGGGGACAACCGGGGGAAACUCCGGCUAAUACCCCGUAAGCUAUGUGGAUCGCAUGGUUCACAUAGGAAAGGUAGCUUCGGCCAUCCGGCGAGGGAUGAGCCCGCGGUACAUUAGCUAGUUGGUGGGGUAACGCCUACCAAGGCGGCGAUGUAUAGCUGGUCUGAGAGGAUGAUCAGCCACACUGGGACUGAGACACGGCCCAGACUCCUACGGGAGGCAGCAGUCGGGAAUCUUGCACAAUGGGCGAAAGCCUGAUGCAGCAACACCGUGUGAGCGAUGAAGG
rnacentral:rRNA from 1 species